UUCAGUCUCCAUAGAGGCAGAUGGCAAAUGCCUUUGUUGUUCAGUCGUUGGCAAUAUUCUUGAGUUCAUUGAAUCUGAGACCCAGCCAUAAUAUGCAGAAGCAAUUGCUAUUGUGUUCUCCCAUUAAUACAAGCAUAUGUUAUUUUCCUCUGUUCCAAUUCUUAAAAUAGAAUUUGCAUUAAUAAAAUCUCCAAAA